rnacentral:misc_RNA from 1 species
CCUCUCUCUCUCUCUCUCCCCCUCCCCCUGCGAGGUGUAUGCCUGACGAUUAUAGCAGAGGAAGAACAAGGAAGAAAGGAAAGAAAGAGACAGAGCAAGGAAAGAAGCAGAGCACCUGCAGCGGAGAAUGGGGGUGAUGAUUUGUAUCGUUGUUUAGAGGGUAGCCUGGCCAGCAAGAUUGGGCUUAUGCUUGUGGACACGAAACGAAAAGCAAACAAUAUUUUUCUUCUUUCGAGUUGGUUUUGUGGGGGAAAAUGUGCUAUGACUAAUGACUUGCAUAUGUAUCCAAUUGCUUCACGUUCUAUUACUAUUUAGAUUUGUAAUCCGCAUGUGAUGGCCUUGAUUUCCUUAGUUGAUUUGGUUCUACCAGUUUCUUUCUUACGGUUAGGAAUACAUUUAAUUAUCCCAAAGUCAUUAUUAAUCGAUUUUCAUGUGCAUAAUAAAAAAAGUUGAGGAAAGAGAAUAAAAC